UCGUUGUUUCCAGAGCCACCGCUCUAAUCGCUCCCUCCAGAAAAAGGCACCGCUUGACGUACCUAUAUAAAGGCUGCACCGCCACCGCCGCAGAACACUCAACCGCUGCUCCACCGCCGUCGCAAUCCGUCGUCGCACCACGUUCUCGGCAUCCACCACCGCUACCCCCCGACGUCCCCUGCACCCACGCCUACCCCCCCGCCCCCCCCUCCCCCACCACCGGCGGCUUGCGUGCUCCCCGCACGGCCUCCACCGAUGGCCUCAUCCGGUUUUCGUCCCGCUCCUCGGCUUCUCGAUGCCCCAACGUCGCCUCUCACCUCCGACCUCUUCCAGCGCUCUCCCCGUCCCCGUACGGCCUCCUCCAACGACCUCACUAACUAGGCCACCCUGGUUACUGUCGAUGGGAACUAUGGCAAGCGCCCACGGGGUUGGUGCUGACUUUAAGGACGAGGAGGCCUCGAGAAUACGGAGAUGUGGCCCGCCUGACCGCUCGAGCUUGCUGCUGUUUUUCCAGGAACCACCAGCGUAAGUCUUCACCUAUGGUCUGAUUGUAUAUUUUUAGUUACAUACAAAUUCUGCAGAUCUUUGUGAAUCAUCCCCUCUCGCGAGCAUCUCGAUGUUGUCUCGCAGGUCGCCUAGCAGCUCUGGCACAUGUGCAGGACGCGUCCCUGCCGUUCCCGUGCGACCAUGAAGCUGUGGAGGAUGCCCCCUUCCAUUAUGGAGAUGGUUUCUAUUUCGCUAGAGGGAGUUCCAUUUGUCGCCAAAAAAUUCUCAAUCCUUGGUGACAUGCUGUCAGCGAUCAUUUGGUGCUGAUGUUUCAACCUUGCCCCUAAUUUAUCCCUUGAUUUUCUCUUCCAGUGUAUGAGAUCUUGGGUGACUGCUAAUACGAUAGAAGAUGCGUAAAUAAUGUUUUAGUAAUGGAUGUUGGUUGCCUUUGUGAGAAGCUCUCAGGCUGUGUACAAGGAAACAGUAUGGUCGUAGGUGGUUAUCCUUGCAGCAGGCAUGAGCAUGGGGACAAAAACUAAUUGCAGGCCAGGGAGGUUAGUAUAAGGCAAGCUGUUUAAAUUUCCAUGAUGCAAACACCCAUCAAGUACUCAGUUGGGAUUUCAAAACCGGGAUAACUAAAUACUAGGAGAUGAUAGACAAUUUUCCAGGUAACUCUUGUGAUUUUUGAAUGUAGGACCUGAAUGGUUGAUGUGUGUAGCAGAAGAAUGCAGAGCGACUAAUUAUUUGAGAUAAUUUUUUAACCUCAAAUUGGAUAAUGUGGGAUAUUUUUCUUGUCCGUAACCAUGAGUAUUGGUUCAUCAUGGCUGCACUAAGAAGGCAAUGAACAUGAACCAAAUAAUUGAUCCGACUUAAUUUUGUUUCUUUGCUCUAUGUAUGGUAAGACGUCUCUGUCAUGCUUAUUCUUAACUGCCACAUUUAUGGACAAGAACUCAUAAGUCAGUUUAGUUCCUCUUUUCUGUUCUACACUUUCUUAUAGCGUUAAGGGCAUCGUGCGAUAGUUAGCAGAUACUUUUUGUGGUUGGUCAGGACAUCCUGCUACAUAGUUCGACCAUUUUAUUUAGUAUAAUUGAGAAACACGUCACUUGAUUUUUCUUUUAAAUUAUAUUGAUGAGACAAUAGAUCAGAAAUCCCAUUUAGAGCUCGGCCUCCAGUGAGGCCUCCAAAUUCAAAUUUGAAAUUUCAUCAAAAUUCAUAUUUUUACAUUUCAGAAAAUUCUGAAAAUAAAUACAGAUAUACAUGAAGGCAUAACACACAUGUGUGUAAAUUUUCAGUUCGGAAUACAUUGAAAUGAGGGUUGUGCAAAAAAACAAAUCUGGGGCUGUUUAACACACGAUACUAUUCAUCCUCCCAGGCCAUCAAUUUGUCUUUUUUGUACAGGUCACAACUCAAGGUAUUUCAUCAUAAAUUUUUACACACAUGUGGGUUACAUGCUUACAUGCAUGCAUAUUUCUUUUCAGAAUUUUUUGAACCAUAAAAGUUUGAAUUUGAAUUUUUCAAAAAUAAAGGCCUCUAUGGAGCUCGGCCUCCAAAAUGCCUCUCUCGACAAUAGAUUGGCUAUAUAGUGUAAGUUUGCAGCGUGACUGUGAGGUCUAUUGCCCCCUAAAAUUUCAUAUACUUCAGUUCUUUAAAUGAUGUUUAGAUAGAUGGAUUUUCGUUCAUUCAUUAUGCAUUUCAAUGUUAACUUCCUCACUACCCAUUAAUUUCCAAUGUUCAUAUGUGAAGACAUGCUCAUAUAUAUGCACUUCUACCUCUCACAUGGUUAACCAUUUUUUUGGAAUAGAAAGGCAUGAUGGAUAUUGUUUCAGUGUAGGUAUCGAGAAGUAACAUGUCAUGUGCAUCCUUAUCCUUGAGCUCAUUAUCUCCCAUUCGUUCAAGACAACAAGAUAAAGAAGUAACAUGUCAUGUGCAUCCAUUGAGAAAUAGUUCUGAAUUAGCCUACUGAAAACUAUUGUAGUAUAUAGUUUGAGGAGGAACAAUGUAUUGUGAAAAUUAGUGAUUUUUCACUAAUAGGACGAUUACUAAUUUGGAGUGUAAUUUCUUUCAAUUAUGCACUAACUGCUGAUCCUACUAUGCUGCUACAUGAGGUCUGGAACAAAAUUUUGUUUCUUAUGAA